rnacentral:lncRNA from 1 species
GCUAAACACUUUUUUCUCUGUUUGAAGAUAUCUUCACGGACGUUGCAUAUUCCAUGGGACAGUGCUGGGUGUUUGUGUCCUGUGGGGGAUUUGUUUAACUAUGAUGCUCCUGGAGAUGAUUCGAAUACCUCAGAAGGUUUUGAAACUGUGAAUAAUGCGGAGGAAGCAGGACAUGUUGUUGAGACUCAGUCUGAAAGGCUCACAGAUGGUGGAUUCGACGGAGAUGCUAAUGCUUAUUGUCUUUAUGCAAGAAGGAAUUAUCAGCUAGGAGAACAGGUACAAGUUCUCAACUACCCUUUGUUACAGCUGUGAAACUAAUGGCAGAGGAUUGUAUUUUGUGGCUGUAGGUUCUUCUAUGUUACGGGACUUACACGAAUCUGGAGCUUCUUGAGCACUAUGGGUUUACGUUAGAUGAUAAUUCAAAUGACAAGGUCUUUAUUCCUCUAGAAACCAGCCUUUACGCUCUAGCUUCUUCAUGGCCUAAAGACUCUUUAUACAUUCAUCAAGACGGCAAACCAUCUUUUUCCCUUGUAUCCACGUUGAGACUAUGGCUGAUCCCACAGAGCCAGCGUGACAAGUCAGUUAUGCGCCUCGUCUAUGCUGGUUCUCAGAUAUCAGUUAAGAAUGAGAUUCUGGUCAUGAAGUGGGUGUCAGAGAAAUGUAGAAGUGUUUUAAGGGAACUCCCAACGUCUAUCCUAGAGGAUAGAGUGAUUUUUCAGGACAUUGACAAGCUUCAAGAUACUGAAUUGCGUCUGGAGCAGAGAGAAGUAGAAGCUUUUGGCAGUGAAGUACGUUCUUUUCUAGAGGCGAAUCGUUUGUGGGAUUUGAUAAAUGGGGGAUUUUCUGGGAAGAUUAACAGGAUAAUGAGUAAAUGGAGAUUGUCAGUGCAGUGGAGGCUAAGGUACAAGAGAACUCUUGCUGAUUGUAUCUCUUAUUGUAAUGAGAAAAUAAAUCAUCUCUCAGGUAACCUAGGAUAGGAUUGGAAAUUUGUAACACUAAUUUAUCAAUGCUUAAAAGAGGAUUUCCGAAAAUUAUUUUUACAUUAGCAAAGUAAACAAAAAUCUACUGUUAUAUCAUGAUCAGUUGCAAGUGUGAAUCAACAAUAGUAAGCUGAAGCCAAACAGAUGAGGAGAUCUGUGAGGAUGAGACCAACAACGUUAAAGACAAACUUUGGAGCAAACAAACCCCAAACCUGCAAGAAUAGGAGAGGAAUGUUUUAGUCAAAGAAGAAUAAAACAUGUAGAAAGAAGACUCCAUUGCACAACACACAGGAACUAGUUUUAAAAGAAUUUGUUCUGUCCAUCUGAUUUGGUUCUUUCUCUCUACACCCUCCAGCCUCAUUAUACAAUAGCCUAAAUACAUUUAACUGCAUGAGUUAUAUAACCUUAAUGGCCUGAUUUGCCAUAUUUGUUAUAAAGCUUUUUGCUUAGAAAAUACCAGCUAGCAACUAUUGAUCCUUGCUUCCCAGACAAUAGAAUCACUGGCGAGCUACAAGCAGACAAUCGAAUUCUUCUUUUUCAAACACGUCUCCAUCUCCUUCUGGUUCAGUAACGCCGUUUUUACGUGAAAUUGUGAAUACUGUUAUGUGAAUGCGACGUCGUUUGCCGCUCAAUUUAUAAACAACCAUUGCUGGUUUUUGAGGUAGUUAAGAACAGUUUAAAGGAUAAUUAAAAUUAACAGCUAAGAUAUAUUGUUCGAUUACUGUUUAAUCAUUUUUUGUUCACUCUAUUAUGGUUCUCAUAGAUUUUUAUGUAAUCCUACUUAGAUUUUGUAGCUUGCCUGUUUGCAAAAAGUUAUUGUUCUCAAUUCAAGCUUAUUAGAUUCCGGUUUAACAAAUCAUGUCCAGCCCAUAAGUAUUUUUUAUCUAGUCUCUUCAAGAGCACUUUAGAUGAUUUAAAGUACCUGCUUCAGUACAAAUACAGAACAAAACUUGUAACUACUAAGCAAAAAAAAAAACUUUUGGAAUCAAACUUAGGGAGAAGGAUCAGAAUAUUGGCUUGAUUUCCUCUGAUGAGAGGAAAUAAUAAUCGCUUAGUAUAAUCAGAUUCGAUCAUUUGGGGAAAUUGUCAUCACCUCCAUAUCUCCAUUGCAAUCACGAAUAGAUUUUAUAAAAUACAUUCUCAAGAAAAAAAAAUCCACGCUUUGGAAAAAAAUAAAUAAUUAGAGAGAAGGAUCAGAAAAUAGGCUUGACUUCCUCUUGAUGAAGAGGAAAUAUAAAAUCGCUCAGUAUAAUCAGAUUCGAUCAUCUGGGGAAAUUGUCAUCACCUCCAACUCUCCAUUUACUAUAUCUUUAAACUUAAUUAAAAAUAAAAAACACAACAAUAAAAUCUAAUUCAAAUAAAUAAAAGAGAGAAGGAUCAGACUAAUUGGCUUGACUUUCCUCUGAUGAGAGGAAAAUUCUAUUCGCUCAGUAUAAUCAGCUUCGAUCAUCUGGGGAAAUUGUCAUCACCUCCAGUUCUCCCUUUUACUCUUUUUUUUUUAAAUCAAAAACCGAUGAAAACUACUUUCAGACAAAAGAUAAUAACAGGUCCUAGGUUGUCUUAAAGAAAAGAUACAAACAAGAUUUGCCCUAAACUAAAUAUCCAAGCUGUUUUUUCUCAUAAAGAAAACCUUUUAGAACACAAGAAUUUUAAAUUUGAAAACUAAAGAGCAGAGAACAGAUCUAGCAAAGUCGACGGCUGGUUUUUCUGAGAUUGGUGUUUAGUCGAAUGUUAUUUAUAGGUAUCAAUGCGAUGAGGCUGAUGCCUAUAAACCCUAACACGCGUGUUAUUCACGUGGUCGUGAUUUUAAGUAAAUUUCUAUCGGGUCCUCGUAUUUUGUAGGGUUGCGGUAAGUAGCAAGGACUUUUAAAUAUUUGAUCAAUUCUUUUUUUUUUUUUUUUUUUUUUUUUUUUUAAUUUUUUUCCUCCUUCACUUGUUGCUGCUUCUGCCAUUUUCUUGGCUAAGUAUACUCUAGACCCAACAAGAAGACCGUGGGUAUGUAAAUAUUACUUUUCUUUGUCUAGACGGUCAGUCCCUUUCCUUCUGCGCCAUGUAGUAAAAAAUGUUUUGUUUCUUUUGGCGAAUCAGAAUUCGACGUUGCAACACUAUACGCAGUAUGAAGCGCUGGAAUUGAGAGGGUGUGUGAUGGAUCUUCAACGGUUGUGUAGUAACGCUCAUGUCUCUACUCUUCCUGCUGUAAGGGACAAGUAUAGUCAACACAAAUACAAGUUUGUGGCAAAGAAGUUUUGUCCAUCAAUUAUCCCACCAGAUUUCUUCAAGAACAGCUUGUAUUGAUUGAUCAAUUUUCAAAUUAACUUUGUUCCAAUCUUGCGUUGGAUUGUCCUUUGUUCUUGGUUAAUCUCUUUGUCUCCUUUUUAGUUGUUUUUUAUGAUGUAAUCUACCAUUAUAAGUAAAGGCAUCAUCAUAAAUUAGAGAUCUGACUUUGUUCAACUUCCUCCUCAUUCCCACACCCCCACAAAAGAAUCUGAGCUUAUUGGACCAAACCCAAAUAGAUCCAAAAACCAACAUAACGGCUCAUUUCAAUAAAUUAUAACCAAACCGGAUUAAACCACUACGAGUGAGACCGGUUUGAGCAUUUCCACAAUUGACUGAAAAAGCCACAAGAAUCAGGGUUUAAGAAGAAGAAUCACAAACCCAUGAAGAUGCAUAAAUUCGAAAAUCACAUAGUGGCCCAUUAAAGAUAACAUAAAUUCGAACUAAACCGGACUAAACCACUACGAUUGAAACCGGUUUGAGCAUUUCCAGAAUUGACUGAAGAAGCCAUAAGAAUCAGGGUUUAAGAAGAAGAAUGGACUCAGAGCACCAAACCAUGGAAACGUUCCUCCGAUGGGCAGCAGAGCUCGGCGUUUCAGAUUCCACCGAUCCUUCUCGAUCUGACGAUUCAUGUCUCGGCCGUACCCUCUCCGUCGCCGACUUCCCUCUCGCCGGCGGGUGCGUUAGAAACAAAAUCAAAUCUCUGAUCAUUUCGAAUCCCUAAAAUUUUUCUCUUCUCAUCGCUCUCUUUCCACGCAUUGAUCGAACUAGGAGAGGAUUGGGAGCUGUUCGUGAGCUCAGGAAAGGAGAAUUGGUUCUGAAAGUCCCGAGGAACGCUCUGUUGACUACAGAGUCCAUGGUGGCUAAAGAUCAGAACUUGAGGGAUUCUAUCAAUCUCCACGCAUCGCUCUCUUCGACCCAGGUUCUAUUUUCUCUAUUUAGUGAUGCCCUUUUGAGAAAAUCUCAUAAUUUAAGGAUCUUUUAAAUUUGCAGAUACUGAGUGUUUGCUUGUUGUAUGAGAUGAGUAAAGGGAAGAGCUCUUUCUGGUACCCUUACUUGGUUCAUUUGCCUCGUGACUAUGAUCUCUUGGCUACAUUCGGUGAAUUCGAGAAGCAAGCUUUACAAGUUAUGUGUUUACUACAUUCAUGUCGCUUUCUUUACGAUUCUACUGUGAUUUUGAGUUUUGUGAUCAUCAUGUCUUUAGGUUGAAGAUGCUGUGUGGGCUGCUGAGAAGGCUAUAGCAAAGUCUCAGUCUGAGUGGAAGGAAGCUGUUACCUUGAUGAAGGAGUUAGAUCUCAAGCCUAAGUUUCAGAGUCUUCAAGCAUGGAACUGGGCUUCUGCAACUGUAAGAAACUACUUCAUGUUCAAUGAUAUAACUUCUGCAAACUUACUACAGCGCUAAACACUUUUUUCUCUGUUUGAAGAUAUCUUCACGGACGUUGCAUAUUCCAUGGGACAGUGCUGGGUGUUUGUGUCCUGUGGGGGAUUUGUUUAACUAUGAUGCUCCUGGAGAUGAUUCGAAUACCUCAGAAGGUUUUGAAACUGUGAAUAAUGCGGAGGAAGCAGGACAUGUUGUUGAGACUCAGUCUGAAAGGCUCACAGAUGGUGGAUUCGACGGAGAUGCUAAUGCUUAUUGUCUUUAUGCAAGAAGGAAUUAUCAGCUAGGAG